GACGAACGCUGGCGGCGCGCUUAACACAUGCAAGUCGAGCGAGAACCAGGACUUCGGUCCUGGGGACAGCGGCGAACGGGUGAGUAACACGUGGAUAACCUGCCCUCGGCACCGGGAUAGCCCGGGGAAACUCGGAUUAAUACCGGAUAGCCCUUCCGACUCUCGAGUCGGUCCGAAAAGGUAGCUUCGGCCUCUGGCCGAGGAUGGGUCCGCGGCGGAUUAGCUUGUUGGUGGGGUAACGGCCUACCAAGGCUU
rnacentral:rRNA from 1 species